rnacentral:tRNA from 2 species
ACUGGGGUAGCAAAGUCUGGAGAAUGCUAAAGGUCUAAGCCCUUUCAUCAGAGGCUCAAAUCCUCUCCCCAGCU